rnacentral:rRNA from 1 species
GAUGAACGCUAGCUACAGGCUUAACACAUGCAAGUCGAGGGGCAGCAUUGGCGUGGCUUGCCACGCCAGAUGGCGACCGGCGCACGGGUGAGUAACGCGUAUCCAACCUGCCCGCAACCGCGGAAUAGCCCGCCGAAAGGCGGAUUAAUGCCGCAUGAGCCCGCGAGACGGCAUCUUAGCGCGGGCGAAGGUUUACUCCGGUUGUGGAUGGGGAUGCGUCCGAUUAGGCAGCAGGCGGGGCAACGGCCCACCUGGCCAUCGAUCGGUAGGGGUUCUGAGAGGAAGGCCCCCCACAUUGGAACUGAGACACGGUCCAAACUCCUACGGGAGGCAGCAGUGAGGAAUAUUGGUCAAUGGGCGGAAGCCUGAACCAGCCAAGUAGCGUGUGGGAUGACGGCCCUACGGGUUGUAAACCACUUUUGCGCGGGGAUAACCGGCGGCACGCGUGCCGCCCUGCAGGUACCGCGCGAAUAAGGACCGGCUAAUUCCGUGCCAGCAGCCGCGGUAAUACGGAAGGUCCGGGCGUUAUCCGGAUUUAUUGGGUUUAAAGGGAGCGUAGGCGGGAUGCUAAGCGUGCUGUGAAACCCUGUGGCUCAACCUUGGAAUUGCGUCGCGAACUGGCGGGCUUGAGUACGCUCGAGGCAGGCGGAAUUCGUGGUGUAGCGGUGAAAUGCUUAGAUAUCACGAGGAACCCCGAUUGCGAAGGCAGCCUGCCGGGGUGUUACUGACGCUCAUGCUCGAAGGUGCGGGUAUCGAACA